rnacentral:rRNA from 1 species
AUUGAACGCUGGCGGCAGGCCUAACACAUGCGAGUCGGACGGUAGCACAGAGGAGCUUGCUCCUCGGGUGACGAGUGGCGGACGGGUGAGUAAUGUCUGGGGAUCUGCCCGAUAGAGGGGGAUAACCACUGGAAACGGUGGCUAAUACCGCAUAACGUCGCAAGACCAAAGAGGGGGACCUUCGGGCCUCUCACUAUCGGAUGAACCCAGAUGGGAUUAGCUAGUAGGCGGGGUAACGGCCCACCUAGGCGACGAUCCCUAGCUGGUCUGAGAGGAUGACCAGCCACACUGGAACUGAGACACGGUCCAGACUCCUACGGGAGGCAGCAGUGGGGAAUAUUGCACAAUGGGCGCAAGCCUGAUGCAGCCAUGCCGCGUGUAUGAAGAAGGCCUUCGGGUUGUAAAGUACUUUCAGCGGGGAGGAAGGCGAUGUGGUUAAUAACCGCGUCGAUUGACGUUACCCGCAGAAGAAGCACCGGCUAACUCUGUGCCAGCAGCCGCCGUAA